AGACGAUCAGGAACUCAUCUCUGUGAUAUCACCAUACCUGUACUUCAGGUGAGAGGCGCUCUGGGAGCCAAUGUUAUUGCUGCAGUUACUUCAGCUGCUGCCAUCAUCAUCUACAUCCUGGAAGCCUUUUGGCCACAUUAUGCUUAUCAUUAUUAUGGUAGCUCUUACUUGAACACCAGUACCCCCGACUGGUCAUUCACUCACAACUAUGAAAGGAUGCCAUGUACCAUCACCAAUCAGCAUUACGGAACUGCCUCAGUGACGGCACAGGAUCCUUCCACGUAGACUCUGCCCACAUACCUGAACCCACCCGCAGCAAUGGCUCUGCCCUGCCCUCAUCCAAGCUCUACACAAGUGACUGAUAGUUCCGCUCAAAGGAGUGAUGGGUCAACAUUGUUAGUCAUGUAAUCUUCUUACUAUUGAAUAAAAGUACUCCAGAUUUACCUUUAUGUUGCCGUGACACUUAAGGUGCUUUGCAGCUCUGAAAGAUCC
ensembl:lncRNA